rnacentral:rRNA from 1 species
UUUUGUAGAUAAUUUAAGGUCUAGCCUGCCCACUGAAAUUUUAAAUGGCCGUGGUAUUUUGACCGUGCUAAGGUAGCAUAAUCAUUAGUUUUUUAAUUAAAAACUGGAAUGAAAGGUUGGAUGAGAAAAUAGCUGUCUCUAUUAGAUUUAAUUAGAAUUUUAUUUUUAAGUUAAAAAGCUUAAUUAUUAUUAAAAGACGAGAAGACCCUAUAGAGUUUAAUUAUUUAGUAAAAAUUAUAUUUUAGUAUUAAUUUAUUUAUUUUAUUAAAUAAUUUAAUUGGGGUGAUUGAAAAAUUUAAUUAACUUUUUUUAUUUAAGAACAUUAAUUUAUGAAUAAAUGAUCCAAUAUUUUUGAUUAUAAGAUAAAAUUACCUUAGGGAUAACAGCGUAAUUUUUUUAGAAAGUUCAUAUUAAAAAAAAAGAUUGCGACCUCGAUGUUGGAUUAAAAUAAAUUUUUGGUGUAGAAGCUAAAAUAUUAGGUCUGUUCGACCUUUAAAAUUUUA